rnacentral:rRNA from 1 species
AUUGAACGCUGGCGGAAUGCUUUACACAUGCAAGUCGAGCGGCAGCACGGGGGCAACCCUGGUGGCGAGCGGCGAACGGGUGAGUAAUACAUCGGAACAUGCCCAGUCGUGGGGGAUAACACUUCGAAAGAAGUGCUAAUACCGCAUACGUCCUGAGGGAGAAAGCGGGGGAUCUUCGGACCUCGCGCGAUUGGAGUGGCCGAUGUCAGAUUAGCUAGUUGGUGGGGUAAAGGCCUACUAAGGCAACGAUCUGUAGCUGGUCUGAGAGGAUGAUCAGCCACACUGGGGCUGAGACACAGCCCAGACUCCUACGGGAUGCAGCAGUGGUGAAUUUUGGACAAUGGGGGCAACCCUGAUCCAGCCAUUCCGCGUGAGUGAAGAAGGCCUUCGGGUUGUAAAGCUCUUUCGGCAGGAACGAAACGGCGAGCUCUAACAUAGCUUGCUAAUGACGGUACCUGAAGAAGAAGCACCGGCUAACUACGUGCCAGCCGCCGCGGUAAAAC